GUGCGCAAGCGCGGGCGUUGACGCUGACGCGCGCGCCACCGCCUCCCUAACAAAAGGCCGGAGAGCGCCCCUUCGGGCCGCUUAAAGGAACCGCGACCCGUUUCUUCCAGACUGCUUCCCAAGUGGAGGCCCCAGGGUGACAUUUCUGGAACCUUCAAUCCCUUGGAGUACUACCUGUCCCAAGAUCUGAUCUGGGCUAUCAUUCCAGCUUGACAGAUGCCUGGAGCCUCAGAAACUCAACUCCUACCUCUCAGGAAAGCAAGUCUCCCUCCCCUCACCCCACCCCACCCCACCCCCAUGUCAGUUCUAUUCCUGUACCUGCCAGCCAGACUAUAGACCAGCAUCCUGAGGCAAGGUGGGCCAUGCAGGUGACCCAGAGCCCCAGAGCUACCACAGGACUACUCUCCCAGUAGGUCCUGAUGGGGGAGAACACAGAAGCAAGCCUCAGGGUAUGGGGGAAAAAGUACUGGACUGCAAGUCCCACUCUAGUCCUUCAAGAUAGUAGGCCAGUUCAGUGGUUAGGAGCAGGGACUGCCUGGGUGGGAGGUCUGGCUCCCCACUGUCCAUCUAAGUGGUCCAGUUAGGGACCUCAUUACGUGAACUUCUGUUUGCCCCUCUGGAAACUGGGUUCACAACAAAUGUUAUGUCAGAGGGCUGUUCUGAGAACUGCAUGAGACAUAAGGAGCUUAGCACUGUGCCUAGAACAUCAUCGGUCCUCAGUGUGCAGCAGCUAUUAUUUUACCAGCUAUACUGAGAGACCUGGGCAAGUCCUGGCACCUCUCUAGCCCUCAGUCUUCCCAUCUGCAGUAUGGGGGCCUGGCCUUGCCCUGGCACAAGGAGGAGGGUGGACAAAGGACCCGUGAUGAGGAGCUAAUGCCCAGCUACCACCAGUUGCCCCAUCUGGAAAAUGGGUCCCCAGCCCAUACCCUGGUUGUUCCCGAUAGUCCAGGUCUCGUCAUAGUCAAAGUGGACAUCUCC